AUCCAGAUGACGAAUGCCAAAUAGGACGAAACAUUCAACCUGGAU
rnacentral:hammerhead_ribozyme from 1 species